CCUUCAAAAAUUCGCAGCCUUCUUCAAUUCUUCUGCAACCCCGACCCUUUCCCAAACUCAACCCCGACCUGCAGCCUUCGUUUCAGAAACCCAGCAUCCUAGCAGCUCGAACCCAGCAAUCGAUUCCUAGAUUUUCCCUUAGCCCUCAAGCACAAAGUCCUAGCAUUCGCGAUUUAGAAUACCGAUUUCCCGAUUUCCAGAAACCCAGUAAUCGGUAGCAUCUGCAGCCUUCGAGUUCUUCGAUUCCUGGCCUUCUUCAAUUACUAACUCGAUUCCUUAGCCCUCAAUCGAUUCAUAGCUUUCCCGAUUUCCAGAAACCCAGCAAUCCCUAGCCCUCAAUCCAUUCAUAGCUUACCCGCUUUCGAAUUCGAACAAGUACCUAGCUUUCCCAAUUUCCCGAUUUCCAGAAACCCAGCAAUCCCUAGCCUUCAAUACCUUCUGGCCUUAUUCGAUUACUAACUCAGUCGACAACUUCUCUGGUUGUUGGCAACCUCUGCUAUUAAAGGUUGAUGUUAAAGGUUUAGAUGAGAUUGGGGUGGAGGUCAUAACUCGUUGAGCAAGGAUCGUAUCAUUGCUCGUCUCCAACAACCAUAUUCACUUGAUUGUAUUCCAGUGGAAGCAGAGUAUCAGGUAAAUUGCUCAUAUCUCUUAUGUUUGAUUAAAAUUUCUAUCUUCAUUUGAAGUUUCGAACUGCGAAUUUAUAUGUCUUUACCUGUAUUGUACAUCCUUCACUACGAUUAUACAGGAUCAAUCUUAUUUAUUUGGUCCAGUCUAAACAGCCUUUGUUCAAAAUCCUUCUUUAUAGGGUAUUUUCAUCAAAUUCACUGUUCUAAUAAAUCAAUUAUAUGUCAUAACUCUAGUCAUGAAAUAUAUGAACAAUAUUUAUUUAGCUUUUGAGAAAUAUCAAUCUUUGAAAACAGUUAAAGGUUAAUUUCCUGACAAUGAAGAUGAUUUUGUUGGAAAUCUCAUUAUGUUGAAGAAGACUUUUCUUAAUGCUUCUUUUGGAACCAUGAAAAGGUUAAGUCAUGAGUUUACCAUAAUAUUGCUUUCAGUAUCUUGGUUGAUUCCAAUUCUGUGUUUCUGGGUACAAGGAUUCGAUUUUGAUAAUGCCCGAAGCAGCUGCAGUUAUUGGGGACGAGUUGGUUGUAUUUAAAGUUUUAAACGUUGAAAUUUCAUUUGUUUGUACUUUGUAACUUUGAAGAAGCUAUGAAAGUUGGAUGCUAUUGCUUA